UGUGUGAUGCUAAGCAUGUGAGCUUGUCUUGGGAGUGUUUUUGAUGCUUCUGGGGUGGGUGAGUGUGUGAACCGAUCAUGUAGUAGGCAAGCUGCGGAGGGACGCAGUGAGGUAGCUCAUCCCCGGUGAUGGUUGUCCGGGGCUAAGUGUGUGGACUGUCUGGUAGGUAAAUCCGCUGGGCGUGAAGGUUGAGGCAUGAUGGGGAGCCCACGGUUGUGGGUGAGUGAGUGAUCCUGUACUGUCGAGAAAAGCUUCGUGAGCGAGGUGGCGGGUCCGCCCGUACCCUAAACCGACACUGGUGGAUAGGUAGAGUAUACCGAGGCGAUCGAGUGAAUCGUGGUGAAGGAACUCGGCAAAAUGCCCCCGUAACUUUGGGAUAAGGGGGACCUGAGCUGUCGUGCACCCGUGCGGUGUGGUGGCGGUGAGGGGCGCAGAGUCCAGGGGGAAACGACUGUUUACCAAAAACACAGGUCCGUGCGAAGUCGUAAGACGAUGUAUACGGACUGACUCCUGCCCGGUGCUGGAAGGUUAAGGGGAACUGUGAGUGUAUGCGUAGCGGUGAACUUAAGCCCCAGUAAACGGCGGUGGUAACUAUAACCAUCCUAAGGUAGCGAAAUUCCUUGUCGGGUAAGUUCCGACCUGCACGAAUGGAGUAACGAUUUCCCUACUGUCUCCACCAUGAACUCGGUGAAAUUGCAUUACGAGUAAAGAUGCUCGUUACGCGCAGCAGGACGGAAAGACCCCGGGACCUUUACUAUAGUUUGGUAUUGGUGAUUGGGACGGUUUGUGUAGGAUAGGUGGGAGACGUUGAUGCGGCCACGCUAGUGGUGGUGGAGUCGUUGGUGAAAUACCACUCUGAUUGUUCUGGUUAUCUCACUGUGGACCGUGAUCCGGUUCAAGGACAGUGCCUGAUGGGUAGUUUGACUGGGGCGGUCGCCUCCUAAAGGGUAACGGAGGCGCCCAAAGGUUCCCUCAGCCUGGUUGGUAAUCAGGUGGUGAGUGUAAGUGCACAAGGGGGCUUGACUGUGAGACUGACAGGUCGAGCAGGGACGAAAGUCGGGACUAGUGAUCUGACGGUGGCUUGUGGAUGCGCCGUCACUCAACGGAUAAAAGGUACCCCGGGGAUAACAGGCUGAUCUUGCCCGAGCGCUCAUAGCGACGGCAUGGUUUGGCACCUCGAUGUCGGCUCGUCGCAUCCUGGGGCUGGAGUCGGUCCCAAGGG
rnacentral:rRNA from 1 species